rnacentral:snoRNA from 1 species
CCUGCCCCUGAGGUUUUUCAGGUGUGGCUGCUGUGCCACCUGUGAGUCAGUAGGUGACAGAGAGGACCUGUAACCUGUGACCUAGGAAUGGCUGAAUGCUAAGUAGCCUGACAUU